rnacentral:rRNA from 1 species
GGGUAGUUUGACUGGGGCGGUCUCCUCCUAAAGAGUAACGGAGGAGCACGAAGGUUGGCUAAUCCUGGUCGGACAUCAGGAGGUUAGUGCAAUGGCAUAAGCCAGCUUGACUGCGAGCGUGACGGCGCGAGCAGGUGCGAAAGCAGGUCAUAGUGAUCCGGUGGUUCUGAAUGGAAGGGCCAUCGCUCAACGGAUAAAAGGUACUCCGGGGAUAACAGGCUGAUACCGCCCAAGAGUUCAUAUCGACGGCGGUGUUUGGCACCUCGAUGUCGGCUCAUCACAUCCUGGGGCUGAAGUAGGUCCCAAGGGUAUGGCUGUUCGCCAUUUAAAGUGGUACGCGAGCUGGGUUUAGAACGUCGUGAGACAGUUCGGUCCCUAUCUGCCGUGGGCGCUGGAGAACUGAGGGGGGCUGCUCCUAGUACGAGAGGACCGGAGUGGACGCAUCACUGGUGUUCGGGUUGUCAUGCCAAUGGCACUGCCCGGUAGCUAAAUGCGGAAGAGAUAAGUGCUGAAAGCAUCUAAGCACGAAACUUGCCCCGAGAUGAGUUCUCCCUGACUCCUUGAGGGUCCUGAAGGAACGUUGAAGACGACGACGUUGAUAGGCCGGGUGUGUAAGCGCAGCGAUGCGUUGAGCUAACCGGUACUAAUGAACCGUGAGGCUUAACCUUACAACG